AAUAACCCGGAGAUGAUAUCUGAGACACGAUAUCAGGCCCUACGGGGCGCAGCAGGCGCGAAAACUUCGCACUGCGCGAAAGCGCGAUGAGGGAAUCCCAAGUGUAUGCACGUUAGUGUAUACUGUUUCUCUGUCUAAAAAGCAGAGAGAGUAAGAGCUGGGUAAGACGGGUGCCAGCCGCCGCGGUAAUACCUGCAGCUCGAGUGGUGAUCGUUAUUAUUGGGCCUAAAACGUCCGUAGCCGGUCUUAUAAAUGCCUGGGUAAAUCGUAUGGCUUAACCAUACGAAUUCCGGGUAGACUGUUAGACUUGAGACCGGGAGAAGCUAGAGGUACUCCUGGGGUAGAGGUGAAAUUUUGUAAUCCUAGGGGGACGACCAGUGGCGAAGGCGUCUAGCUAGAACGGGUCUGACGGUGAGGGACGAAGCCCUGGGGCGCAAACGGGAUUAGAUACCCCGGUAGUCCAGGGUGUAAACGCUGCUUGCUUGAUGUUAGUCUGGCUCCGAGCCAGAUUAGUGUCGGAGAGAAGUUGUUAAGCAAGCUGCCUGGG
rnacentral:rRNA from 1 species